GAUUAACGCUGGCGGCGUGCUUAACACAUGCAAGUCGAACGAAGUGGCGGACGGGUGAGUAACGCGUGAGUAACUUGCCGUAGAGAAGGGGAUCGCCUUUGGAAACGACGAAUAAUACCCUAUACUCUAUGAUGGUCUUGCGUCUGUUUAGUUAGUUGGUGGGGUAACGGCCCACCAAGACAGCGAUCAGUAGCCGGCUUGAGAGAGGGUACGGCGACAUUGGGACUGAGACACGGCCCAGACUCUACGAGAGGCAGCAGUGGGGAAUUUUGCACGAUGGGGGAGACCCUGAUGCAGCGACGCCGCGUGAUUUGGAAGGCCUUCGGGUUGUAAAAAUCUUUUCUAUGGGAAGCGGUACCAGAGGAAUAAGGACCGGCUAAUUACGUGCCAGCAGCCGCGGUAAUUC
rnacentral:rRNA from 1 species